GACGAACGCUGGCGGCGCGCUUAACACAUGCAAGUCGAACGGAAAGGCCUGCUUUCCCUUGUGGAUUGCGGGUACUCGAGUGGCGAACGGGUGAGUAACACGUGAGUGAUCUGCCCCCAACUUGGGUAUAAGCCUGGGAAACUGGGUCUAAUUCCCGAUAGGACUGCAGGGUGGUGCCUGUGGUGGAAAACGAUUUUCUAGUGGUUGGGGAUGAGCUCGCGGCCUAUCAGCUUGUUGGUGGGGUAAUGGCCUACCAAGGCGGCGACGGGUAGCCGGCCUGAGAGGGUGGACGGCCACAUUGGGACUGAGAUACGGCCCAGACUCCUACGGGAGGCAGCAGUGGGGAAUAUAGCACAAUGGGCGGAAGCCUGAUGCAGCGACGCCGCGUGGGGGAUGACGGCCUUCGGGGUGUAAACUCCUUUCGACCGCGAGGAAGCCACCUGGUUGGAAGGGUGGUGACGGUAGUGGUAGAAGAAGCACCGGCUAACUACGU
rnacentral:rRNA from 1 species